rnacentral:rRNA from 1 species
CUUACUUGGAGUCCGAACUCUCACUUUCUAACCCUGUGCACUUGUUUGGGAUAGUAACUCUCGCAAGAGAGCGAACUCCUAUUCACUUAUAAACACAAAGUCUAUGAAUGUAUUAAAUUUUAUAACAAAAUAAAACUUUCAACAACGGAUCUCUUGGCUCUCGCAUCGAUGAAGAACGCAGCGAAAUGCGAUAAGUAAUGUGAAUUGCAGAAUUCAGUGAAUCAUCGAAUCUUUGAACGCACCUUGCGCUCCAUGGUAUUCCGUGGAGCAUGCCUGUUUGAGUGUCAUGAAUACUUCAACCCUCCUCUUUCUUAAUGAUUGAAGAGGUGUUUGGUUUCUGAGCGCUGCUGGCCUUUACGGUCUAGCUCGUUCGUAAUGCAUUAGCAUCCGCAAUCGAACUUCGGAUUGACUUGGCGUAAUAGACUAUUCGCUGAGGAAUUCUAGUCUUCGGAUUAGAGCCGGGUUGGGUUAAAGGAAGCUUCUAAUCAGAAUGUCUACAUUUUAAGAUUAGAUCUCAAAUCAGGUAGGACUACCCGCUGAACUUAAGCAUAUCAAUAAGCGGAGGAA